GGGAGCUAUCCUUGUGCCAUUCUCACCUAAAUAGAAGCUAAAUCCUCUGAGCUGCUGUGUUUGUUUCCAUAUCCCCACUGGAAUAUGAGACUUCUGUGGCUCCCCAGCUUCUGGCUGGGUUUGUUUUGCUGUGUGCAGCAGCAUCAACUGGCCUACCCCACUUUUGCCUAGCCGGUCACCUCCUGAGUGUCUAAGAGCCGUUGGCUGCAUUGAAACGUUUGGCUCUUUCUCUUAGUAACAGCUUUUUACAUUCUGCCUCAAUUCCUCUCUAACCUAAUCACUUGCAAUUGCCCCCUCCCCCCAUCAUAUAUCUCGUGGAUUUACCCCCCUCAUCGCUGUGCUCUGCACCCCCUCCUUUCUCACACCAGGGUAAUAACCAUAUUACAAGGCUUUGUGGCUGUGUAUCUGCUUGGGGAGGGAGCUGCUUAUCUUUGCAACAAUAUCAAGAGGCAUGACCCAGUCCACCAAUAUAGGUGUUGGAAUUUUCCUUAUGUUCCUGUGAGCUGUUAAACUCUGGGAAUCAGCGAACGCUAUACCCGAGGUUCCCUGUAUUUGGUACGGAUGGCGUCCUAGGCUACUGAUAUAACCUCACCGCACAAUUAUCCAGGUAUCACUAGUAGGGGUUUGUAUUAUAUACACAUAAGUGGGUAUAAGA